rnacentral:rRNA from 1 species
CUCGGUGACGUACCCCCCGGUCGGGGAUAGCGGCGGGAAACUGCCGGUAAUACCCGAUGAUCUGCCCCAGUUUUACGACAGGGGCAGCAAAGGUGUGAUUCCGUCGGGGGAGCGGCUGAGGUCGUAUUAGCUAGUUGGUAAGGUCACGGCUUACCAAGGCGAUGAUGCGUAGGGGGUGUGAGAGCAUGGCCCCCACCACUGGCACUGAGACACUGGCCAGACACCUACGGGUGGCUGCAGUCGAGAAUCUUCGGCAAUGGGCGCAAGCCUGACCGAGCGACGCCGCGUGCGGGAUGAAGGUCUUCGGAUUGUAAACCGCUGUCGGAGGGGAUGAAAUGCACGGGGGUACUCCCCUGUGUUUGACAGAGCCUCGGAGGAAGCACGGGCUAAGUUCGUGCCAGCAGCCGCGGUAAUACGAACUGUGCGAACGUUAUUCGGAAUCACUGGGCUUAAAGGGUGCGUAGGCGGCGACUCAAGUCAGGUGUGAAAUCCCCCGGCUCAACCGGGGAACAGCGCUUGAAACUGGGUGGCUC